rnacentral:snRNA from 1 species
CAACUUCUGCUCUCUCUCA